UACAGAGGUCUCAACCGUUGUUCGGAUUCAUUGGGCGUAAAGGGUGCGUAGGCGGUUCGGUAAGUCAGGUGUGAAAUCUCCACGCUCAACGUGGAGGCGCCACCUGAAACUGCCGUGACUCGAGUCCGGUAGGGGAGUGUGGAAUUCCUGGUGUAGCGGUGAAAUGCGCAGAUAUCAGGAGGAACACCAGUGGCGAAGGCGGCACUCUGGGCCGGUACUGACGCUGAGGAGCGAAAGCGUGGGGAGCGAACAGG
rnacentral:rRNA from 1 species